GGUGAAUUGGAGUAGCGGUUAUCUCAGUUCGUUUACACCGUAAAAGUGUCCGAAUUGGUCGCAGGUUCGAUUCCUGCAUUCACCA